GAUGAACGCUGGCGGCGUGCCUAAUACAUGCAAGUCGAGCGAACAGACGAGGAGCUUGCUCCUCUGACGUUAGCGGCGGACGGGUGAGUAACACGUGGAUAACCUACCUAUAAGACUGGGAUAACUUCGGGAAACCGGAGCUAAUACCGGAUAAUAUAUUGAACCGCAUGGUUCAAUAGUGAAAGACGGUUUUGCUGUCACUUAUAGGUGGAUCCGCGCCGCAUUAGCUAGUCGGUAAGGUAACGGCUUACCAAGGCAACGAUGCGUAGCCGACCUGAGGGGGUGAUCGGCCACACUGGAACUGAGACACGGUCCAGACUCCUACGGGAGGCAGCAGUAGGGAAUCUUCCGCAAUGGGCGAAAGCCUGACGGAGCAACGCCGCGUGAGUGAUGAAGGUCUUCGGAUCGUAAAACUCUGUUAUUAGGGAAGAACAAAUGUGUAAGUAACUAUGCACGUCUUGACGGUACCUAAUCAGAAAGCCACGGCUAACUACGUG
rnacentral:rRNA from 1 species